rnacentral:rRNA from 1 species
AGAGUUUGAUCCUGGCUCAGAGCGAACGCUGGCGGCAGGCCUAACACAUGCAAGUCGAACGAACUCUUCGGAGUUAGUGGCGGACGGGUGAGUAACACGUGGGAACGUGCCUUUAGGUUCGGAAUAACUCAGGGAAACUUGAGCUAAUACCGAAUGUGCCCUUCGGGGGAAAGAUUUAUCGCCUUUAGAGCGGCCCGCGUCUGAUUAGCUAGUUGGUGAGGUAAUGGCUCACCAAGGCGACGAUCAGUAGCUGGUCUGAGAGGAUGACCAGCCACAUUGGGACUGAGACACGGCCCAAACUCCUACGGGAGGCAGCAGUGGGGAAUCUUGCGCAAUGGGCGAAAGCCUGACGCAGCCAUGCCGCGUGGAUGAUGAAGGUCUUAGGAUUGUAAAAUCCUUUCACCGGUGAAGAUAAUGACUGUAGCCGGAGAAGAAGCCCCGGCUAACUUCGUGCCAGCAGCCGCGGUAAUACGAAGGGGGCUAGCGUUGCUCGGAAUUACUGGGCGUAAAGGGAGCGUAGGCGGACAUUUAAGUCAGGGGUGAAAUCCCGGAGCUCAACUCCGGAACUGCCUUUGAUACUGGGUGUCUUGAGUGUGAGAGAGGUGAGUGGAACUCCGAGUGUAGAGGUGAAAUUCGUAGAUAUUCGGAAGAACACCAGUGGCGAAGGCGACUCACUGGCUCAUUACUGACGCUGAGGCUCGAAAGCGUGGGGA